GACGAACGCUGGCGGCGUGCCUAAUACAUGCAAGUUGAGCGCUGAAGGUUGGUACUUGUACCAACUGGAUGAGCAGCGAACGGGUGAGUAACGCGUGGGUAAUCUGCCUUUGAGCGGGGGACAACAUUUGGAAACGAAUGCUAAUACCGCAUAAAAACUUUAAACACAAGUUUUAAGUUUGAAAGAUGCAAUUGCAUCACUCAAAGAUGAUCCCGCGUUGUAUUAGCUAGUUGGUGAGGUAAAGGCUCACCAAGGCGAUGAUACAUAGCCGACCUGAGAGGGUGAUCGGCCACAUUGGGAAUGAGACACGGCCCAAACUCCUAAGGGAGGCAGCAGUAGGGAAUCUUCGGCAAUGGACGAAAGGCUGAACGAGCAACGCCGCGUGAGUGAAGAAGGUUUUCGGAUCGGAAAACUCUGUUGGUAGAGAAGAAAGUUGGUGAGAGUGGAAAGCUCAUCAAGUGACGGUAACUACUCAGAAAGGGACGGCUAACUACGUG
rnacentral:rRNA from 1 species